GAAAUAUCCUAUAUAAAACUUCUAAUUUUAUGAAAAACAAUUAAAUAUUGUUUAUAUUUCU
rnacentral:tRNA from 1 species